rnacentral:rRNA from 1 species
UUAGUAGGUCGGACCCGGGACCGGCCACGGUCGGAGUAACGACGAGUCCAACCUGCCCUUUACUAUGGGACAGCCCGUCGAAAGGCGGAUUAAUACCGUAUGUUGUCAUGUUGAUGCAUAUUUUCAUGACCAAAGGCUUCGGCCGGUAAAGGAUGGGGAUGCGUCUGAUUAGCUUGCCGGCGGGGUAACGGCCCACCGGGGCGACGAUCAGUAGGGGUUCUGAGAGGAAGGUCCCCCACAUUGGAACUGAGACACGGUCCAAACUCCUACGGAAGGCAGCAG